rnacentral:rRNA from 1 species
GCGUGGGUGAAGAAGGCCUUAGGGUUGUAAAUCCCUUUCAGCGGGGAAGAUAAUGACGGUACCCGCAGAAGAAGCCCCGGCUAACUCCGUGCCAGCAGCCGCGGUAAUACGGAGGGGGCUAGCGUUGUUCGGAAUUACUGGGCGUAAAGCGCACGUAGGCGGGCUGUUUAGUCAGUGGUGAAAUCCCGAGGCUCAACCUCGGAAUUGCCUUUGAUACUGGCAGCCUUGAGUUCGAGAGAGGUGAGUGGAAUUCCGAGUGUAGAGGUGAAAUUCGU